GUUGAAUUCUCAAGCUUGCUCUGUUCAAGGGAUUGAACCCCUCUGCUACAAAGGGGGGUCAGUUACCUCAGCUAACUGCUUCUGGCAACAAAUGGCCACAAACCGAUCAAAGGUGAAAGUGACGGUGAACCAGACAGAGCAGUCAGUAGCUGCAUAAAGCAGGACGGCGUGGAUAUUACACACGGGGACGGAGUACAGGAAAUAAAACUGUUCCUUAUAAACAAUGGGAAUGUGUCUCAGGAUCAGGUCGAGGAUAAUGACCAGGAGAUCCGCCGCUGCCAUGGCCCCCAGCAGGAACAUAAAAACAUAUCUUCAAAUCGACCAAGACCAUUUUCUGC